UUAACAUGAUGAUUUAUUAAUGACAAGCAUAUGCCUGAAUAAAGUGAUGUCAUUUUAUAAUCUGAUUAC